UUGAGUUGGUGAUGCCAUCCAACCAUCUUUUAGGAUUUGAAAUAGCUCAACGGGAAUUCCAUCACCUCUAGUUUUGUUUGUAGUGAUGCUUCCUCAGGCCCACUUGACUUCGCAUUCCAUGACGUCUUUUGGAAAGGCCGAAGCAAUGCCGCCAUUGUUGGAACCAGCCUGGAACCUGUGGUGGAGCUCGACUGAAGACCCAGCAGGCCAGCUUUGAAGAAAACCUGGAGAGAGGGAAAGUCACACAUCAUCCCCAGACUACAGGAGAGACAGACGUGGCAGACGGUGCUUGGAUCAGCUACUCUUUCUAGUAAUGACUGCUGAAGCAAGAUUGGUAAGCUUUUCUCCUGCAAAGUUUCUGCUAACUCACAUCAAAGAUCUCAAAGCCAGCAAUGUCCAAGACCCCGAUGAAGUACUGCCUGGGCUGCUUAG